UUGAACGCUGGCGGCAGGCCUAACACCUGCAAGUCGAACGGUAACAGGAAGAAGCUUGCUUCUUUGCUGACGAGUGGCGGACGGGUGAGUAAUGUCUGGGAAACUGCCUGAUGGAGGGGGAUAACUACUGGAAACGGUAGCUAAUACCGCAUAACGUCGCCAGACCAAAGAGGGGGACCUUCGGGCCUCUUGCCAUCGGAUGUGCCCAGAUGGGAUUAGCUUGUUGGUGGGGUAACGGCUCACCAAGGCGACGAUCCCUAGCUGGUCUGAGAGGAUGACCAGCCACACUGGAACUGAGACACGGUCCAGACUCCUACGGGAGGCCGCAGUGGGGAAUAUUGCACAAUGGGCGCAAGCCUGAUGCAGCCAUGCCGCGUGUAUGAAGAAGGCCUUCGGGUUGUAAAGUACUUUCAGCGGGGAGGAAGGGAGUAAAGUUAAUACCUUUGCUCAUUGACGUUACCCGCAGAAGAAGCACCGGCUAACUCCGUG
rnacentral:rRNA from 1 species